AUGUGGCUCACUCUGCUAAGGCGCUGGAUCCGAGUCUGUGAGGUCAUGGGUUCGAAUCCCGGGUGGUUGAUGUUGCUUCUGUUCCAGUUGUUGGAUUUUCUGUGUAUGUUCGCAUUAAAUUUAAAAUGUGCUUUUGGUCAUUCUCAUCUAAAGUUCUGUUCGAUUUCAAACUUCUCUACUUCUGAACCGAUCUGUUGUCCUGACGCGCUUUCCGUUUCUGCCGUUUUUCUUCCUCCCGCUCCGCUCUGGGCUACAGCCCUUCAGGGCUUGGCCCCGGUAUCGCUGCUUGCAGCUAUAUUUAUUAUUAUUAUUAUUAUUAUUCUCCAAUGGGAGUCUAUGGCAGCCCUAUGAAGGGAACAUGGGAAAAUGAUGAAAUUUGGCAUACUUGUAGAGAUGGCCAUGAACAGUGAUCUGACCAACUUUGGGGUCUCUAGGCCCAACUCUAUAGCGCCACCAGCAGUCCAAAAUUUCAACAUUCAAACGUUAAUAACUCUUGAACCCCUAAUUCUAUGAAAAUUUAACUUAGUACACCUGAUCACUCUCUUCAUGAAGAUUAUACUCAAUACAUUACAUUAAGACUCCGCCCAUUACAGUAGCGGCCAUUUUGAAAAGUACAGUAUUCAGUCUAAACGCUACUCCUCCUUCAAAAUUGGUCCAAUUCUUCUGAAAUUUGGCUCACAUGAUCUUUGGACUGAGCCACACAGAAAUGACUGAACAGAUUUUUGAUAUUCAUCUUUGUUCAAAAGUUAUUCAAUUGUGAACCUAACGAAGUCGACCUAAAAUCGGUUCAGAUGCUGUAUCUUGGCCAAACUUUGAUCAAUCAAAACCAAACUUGGUACACUUCAUCUACACGAUGAUCUGAGGGUCCAUGCCAAAGUUGGGAACAGCGCCACCUAUGGGUGUUGAGAUACCAAAAAUUCACUUUUAUGCUUAUAUCUUCUGAACAAUUCGUCAGAAAAUUAUGAUCUUGGUAUCUAUGGAUUCUUUGGGUUAUUCCGAAUCUGAGGAGGUCAAUUUUGUCAAGACCACCUGGACCACCUGUCCGCCAUUUUGAAAUUUGUCAUAAAUUGCGAUAUCUUUUGAUCUACUGGACAAAUCUGCACAAAAAUCGGUAGGCAUCAUCAACAUCAUGUGCCGGAGGUACCCCGGAAGUUUUAAGACAGCGCCACCUAGUGUUCAAGAGAUAUAACGAUUCUUGCAAAACCCCUUAUAACUUUUGAAAUCCUUGAUCGAUUUUUGUUAUUUUUAUGUCAUUUUGUUCCUUGGGUUAUGCCGAAUCUGAUGAUGUCUCAUUUGUCAUUUUCCAACAUGGUGUCUGUCCGCCAUAUUGAAUUGAAUGAAAAACUGUUUUUUCGCUACUCCUCCCUGAAAUCUUGUUCAAUUUUGAUCAAAAUUUGAUCAGAUGAUAUUCAGACCAGGCCGGACAGAAAUGACUGAACAGAUUUUUGAUAUUCACUCCCGUUCCCGACAAGUACAUCUCUGAAGUUGACCGUGCAUGUGCUAGUUGAUUUAUGCUAAUUAGCUUAGCAUGGUAAUUAGCUAACACGCUAACACGUUUCUAUUCAUUCUAAUGGGUGUCUUGAGCUAUCUGGUUAACUUUGAGCAACGUUAGCAUUUUUUAGCUUAGCAUGCUAAUCUGGCUCAAAUGCUAAUUCGGGCUUUUGAGAGAUCAUUCUCACACCUUAACCUCGCUUCUUCGGAUUGUCAAAUGUGCGUCAACUAAUGUGGCUCAAGGCUGAUUUAUACUUCUGCGUCGGACCUACGCCGUAGCCUACGCAUAGACACACACCCUACGCCGUGGCCAACGCCGUGACCUGACGUGCACCUCUCCAAAAAUCUAACAGCGCGUCAAUUCUACGCGUACCGCAAGCACUGUGAUUGGUCUGCUAGAACCCCUUCCUCUGUAUGUACUUGAGUUUGGUGUGUGUUUAUAAUGUGCACUUUAAUAUAUUUUAAUGUUACACCUUCUUAUAUAAAAUAAAACAAAGCAAAGAAAAAGUGUCUUAUCAUUUAUUAUACUACAUAGCAUUAUACAUCAGUAUUUGUCCGCGAUAAACAAUGUUGAUCUGCCGUGGUACAAG
ensembl:lncRNA